AUGCUCCGCCUCCGCGAGUGCGUCGUUUCCCGUCUACUCUCUUCACCCUCCACCUCCAGCUCUGCCAUCUUCCCACUCCGCCACCUCCUCUCCGCAGCCGCAGCCCCCAUUUCCCCCGGAUUCGCCGUGGAGGAGUACCUCGUCGCCACCUGCGGCCUCACCCGACCCCAAGCCCUCAAGGCCUUCAAGAAGCUCUCCCACCUCAAGUCCCCCGCCAAACCUAACGCCGUCCUCGCCUUCUUCUCCGGCCUCGGCCUCUCCGGCGCCGAUGCCGCCGCCGUCGUCACCAAAGAUCCGCUGUUCCUCCGCACCAAGGUGGACAAAACCUUGGCCCCUAAGGUCGUCGGGCUCACUGGCCUAGGUCUCUCGAGUCCUGACAUCGCCUGCCUCGUCUCCCUCACCCCCGACUGCUUCCGCUCCAGAAACAUCGUCUCCAAGCUGCACUACUACCUGCCCCUCUUCGGCUCCUUCCACAACUUCCUCCGGCUGCUCAAGCGCUCACCCCGCCUUCUGUCAUGGGACCUUAACAAGGUGGUCAAGCCCAAUGUUGUGUUUCUGAGGGAGUGCGGGCUAGGUGAUUGUGAUAUUGCCAAGCUGUGUAUCCAUGCGCCGAGGAUGCUCAGCACCAACCCGGAGCGUGUCCGGGCGAUGGUGGCAUGCGCGGAAGGUAUAGGCGUGCCCCGUGGCUCUGGGAUGUUCAGACAAGCGCUAUGCGCUGUCACAUUCCAAACCAAGGAGAAGAUUGCCGCCAAAAUGGAGUACUUGAAGACCACCUUCAGGUGGUCUGAUGCCGAAGUGAGCAUGGCUGUGCGCAAGUAUCCGGGUGUGCUGAGGAAGUCAAAGGAAUCUCUGAAGCACAGGUCCGAGUUCUUCUUCUCUGAGGUGGGGCUGGAACCGGCGUACAUUGCUUAUCGUCCGGCGUUGUUCUCUUAUAGCAUGGAGGGCCGAAACAGACCCAGGUACUAUGUUAUCAAGUUCCUUAAGGCAAAUGGAUUGUUAGAUCAGUACCGGGACUACUAUAGCAUAGUCAUGCUGAGUGAGAAGGUAUUUGUGGAGAAGUUCAUAUGCCCUCACAAGGAAGCUGCACCACACCUCGCUGAAGACUAUGCAACCGCUUGCAAAGGGGAAGUACCGACUAAUUUCAGAUUCGUAUGA
rnacentral:rRNA from 1 species